rnacentral:rRNA from 1 species
UACGUAAGUGGCGAGCGUUAUCCGGAAUUACUGGGCGUAAAGCGUGCGUAGGCGGUUUAGUGUGUGGGAUUUGAAAGCACGGGGCUCAACUCCGGAUCCGGAUCCCAAACUGCUAGACUCGAGCGUAUCAGAGGAGAGCGGAAUUCCCGGUGUAGCGGUAAUAUGCGUAGAUAUCGGGAGGAACACCAGUGGCGAAGGCGGCUCUCUGGGGUAUUGCUGACGCUGAGGCACGAAAGCCAGGGGAGCGAACGGG